rnacentral:sRNA from 1 species
AGUACCCCUUCACACGGAGGACGCGAUGGCUCCCAAGAAACGCCCAGAAACCCAGAAGACCUCCGAGAUUGUAUUACGCCCCAGGAACAAGAGGAGCAGGAGUCCCCUGGAGCUGGAGCCCGAGGCCAAGAAGCUCUGUGCGAAGGGCUCCGGUACUGCCUGUGCCUGCUGCUUGAAUAUUUCCGCCUUUUAGGGUGCUCGCGCAGGAGGCUGCAGCGGGGGAUGGGUGCUCCGAGGCUCCCGAGGCCCGCGCAGGUCACGGGUGCCUCCGGCUGUGCAUUCUACCUGCAGGUCCUUUGACACCAGAGUGUUUAGGUUUCAACACCUCUCCCGCUAGGUAACAGGAAGCAGAUGAGCUCCGUAACAACAGACACACGGACUUGUCAGAUUCCUUGUUCGUAUCAGGGUUCUUGCACAGUUAGGACGGCUUCAGAGAAUCCUACCUUUCCUGGCGCUGUGUGUGCUGGAUUUCAUAGUCACGCUUGUUAGCUGCACGUCCUCGGUGGUCAGUUGUGAGAGCCCCCAAUUCCUUCCUCCUUAGAAAGCUCAUUCUCUGAGGUUUACUGGGGCUUGAACCUGGGGCUAUAAGGAGUUUCGAGACACUCAAAAACGAGCUGGGGCUUGUUAAUCAAGUGGUUUUUGUCCAUGAGAAGAAAGAAUUGGUUGUCAAGACGUCGGACCUAUAGUGAUUGGGUCCUCAAAUACAGUUUGGUGAUCAGGAGUUGUUGCUUUAUUGCUAUUCUAAUUUCACUUACCUCCCCAGAAGUAACCUAGUUAAGAGCAUUUCCAGGCCUUCCUAUUCCUUCUUUUCCUAAACGGUGACUUCUGCCAUGCUGCCCUAAAAUCUUUUUAUUGUGCAUUAUAUGUGAUUUAUAAAAUUGUGACCCAGUCCCAUCUCGAGUUUUGCAGCCCAAACUGGGAAGAGUUCUGCAGUGUACUUUAUUCUUGUGUGUUUCUUUGGCUGGGGUCUCAGGAACCCUGCACGACUGUAUUUACUUUCACUUCAGACUUACUGUUUGUGGGAGUGUUUUGGGGAAGGGGCCAAAUCCUCACUCAUUUUUUUAUUUCUGGUGCUCGUUGAGACCACACAGACAUGGAAAGGCCGCAGGAGGUGAUGAGACAGAGAUUAACCGUGCCGAAUGAAACAAGGCUUCCUUUCGGGGAAUUCAGCAGAAAAACCUUUCGUGAGAUUGGAGAGGAAAAUAUGUCUGUUCUGCUUGGCAGGUCCUAGCAGAAGAUGUGACUCAGACUGCCUCUGGGUGGGGCUGGCUGGCCCACAGAUCCUGCCACCAUGCCGCAGCAUCGUCAGGACCCUCCACCAGCAUAAGCUGGGCAGAGCUUCCUGGCCAUCUGUCCAGCAGGGGCUCCAGCAGUCCUUUUUGCACACUCUGGAUUCUUACCGGAUAUUACAAAAGGCUGCCCCCUUUGACAGGAGGGCUACAUCCUUGGCGUGGCACCCAACUCACCCCAGCACCGUGGCUGUGGGUUCCAAAGGGGGAGAUAUCAUGCUCUGGAAUUUUGGCAUCAAGGACAAACCCACCUUCAUCAAAGGGGCAGCCUGGCAUCCUCGCUACAACCUCAUUGUUGUGGGCCGAUACCCAGAUCCUAAUUUCAAAAGUUGUACCCCUUAUGAAUUGAGGACGAUCGAUGUGUUCGAUGGAAACUCAGGGAAGAUGAUGUGUCAGCUCUAUGACCCAGAAUCUUCUGGCAUCAGUUCGCUUAAUGAAUUCAAUCCCAUGGGGGACACGCUGGCCUCUGCAAUGGGUUACCACAUUCUCAUCUGGAGCCAGGAGGAAGCCAGGACACGGAAGUGAGAGACACUAAAGAAGGUGUGGGCCAGACAAGGCCUUGGAGCCCACACAUGGGAUCAAGUCCUGCAAGCAGAGGUGGCGAUCUGUUAAAGGGCCAAAAGUAUCCAAGGUUAGGGUUGGAGCAGGGGUGCUGGGUCCUGGGGCACUGUGGGACUGGGACACUUUUAUGUUAAUGCUCUGGACUUGCCUCCAGAGACUGCUCCAGAGUGGGUGACACAGCUGUCCCAAGGGCCCCUCUGUAUCUAGCCUGGAACCAAGGUUAUCUUGGAACUAAAUGACUUUUCUCUUCUCAGUGGGUGGUAGCAGAGGGAUCAAGCAGUUAUUUGAUUUGUGCUCACUUUUGAUAUAGCCAAUAAAACCAUACCGACUG